rnacentral:rRNA from 1 species
AUAAACACUGGAAACGGUGUCUAAUACCGGAUGUGAACUUUUACCGCAUGGUGAAAAGUUUAAAGUUUGAGUAACGCUAAAAGAUGAGCCUGCGUCGCAUUAGCUAGUUGGUAAGGUAAUGGCUUACCAAGGCUACGAUGCGUAGCGGAUUUGAGAGAGUGAUCCGCCACACUGGGACUGAGAUACGGCCCAGACUCCUACGGGAGGCAGCAGUAAGGAAUAUUGCGCAAUGGACGAAAGUCUGACGCAGCAAUACCGCGUGAAUGAAGAAGGCCUAUGGGUUGUAAAAUUCUGUCAGAAGGGAAGAACAAGUCGGUUUAGAGCUGACUUUGACGGUACCUUCAGAGGAAGCUCCGGCUAACUCCGUG